GGGAUGCAAGCAUCGGCGGCGAUGCACCUGCCUCUUAAGCGGGAGAGCGAGGUUCGAGUCCUCGGCGUCCCACCA
rnacentral:tRNA from 1 species